CGUUCCCGGGCCUUGUACACACCGCCCGUCACACCAUGGGAGUUGGUUUUACCUGAAGACGGUGCGCUAACCGAAAGGGGGCAGCCGGCCACGGUAGGGUCAGCGACUGGGGUGAAGUCGUAACAAGGUACCC
rnacentral:rRNA from 1 species